rnacentral:misc_RNA from 1 species
CGGGCGGCAGUUCCCGAUCUGGCCACCGGUCAGCGCGCCGGAAACGAAAGCCUGCGUAACGGCGUAGCCCAGACCGAUCGGCUUGGGAAAUCGCGUUCUCGUCUACACUCCUGAUCGAUGGCAGCGUGGGGCAAGAUUCCGCAAUCGCCGUUCUUCAUUCGGAACGGCCAGUCCACCCGUGGGGGAACACACUCGCUCAAUUCAUCAGAGCUGGAUAAAUCCGCGCGAGGACAACCCAUGCCGCGUUCCACAGUACCAGGGCGACAACCCAAGCCUUCGCC